rnacentral:rRNA from 1 species
GAUGAACGCUGGCGGCGUGCCUAAUACAUGCAAGUCGAGCGAACAGACGAGGAGCUUGCUCCUCUGACGUUAGCGGCGGACGGGUGAGUAACACGUGGAUAACCUACCUAUAAGACGGGGAUAACUUCGGAAAACCGGAGCUAAUACCGGAUAAUAUAUUGAACCGCAUGGUUCAAUAGUGAAAGACGGCUUUGCGGUCACUAAUAGCUGGUUCCGCGCUGCAUUAGCUAGUUGGUAAGGUAACGGCUUACCACGGCAACGAUGCGUAGCCGACCGGAGAGGGUGGUCGGCCACACUGGAACUGAGACACGGUCCAGACGCCUACGGGAGGCAGCAGUAGGGAAUCUUCCGCAAUGGGCGAAAGCCUGACGGAGCAACGCCGCGUGAGUGAUGAAGGUCUUCGGAUCGUAAAACUCUGUUAUUAGGGAAGAACAAAUGUGUAAGUAACUAUGCACGUCUUGACGGUAACUAAUCAGAAAGCCACGGCUAACUACGUG